rnacentral:rRNA from 1 species
GAAUGAAGUUAUUGGUUAGUUCUUUUUAUAUUUUAAUUUAGAAUUUAAUAUUUAUUUAAGAAAAAAUAAAUACAUUUAAACAAAGAUAAGUCUUCGGAAAUUCUUUUAUUUAAAUUUCAUUAGUUAUUUAAAUAUAUUUUCUAGGGCAGAAUAUUAUAUAAUUUUUGUUACUAUUAAUAAUUUAAUGAAUUACUCCGGAGUUAACAGAAAAUCAUACCUAAUCUAGUUCUUAUAGUAAGGUAAGUUUUACAUCGAUGUUGUAUUCAAGUGAUCUAAGAGAGGAGAAGAUUUAGUUUUUUAGACUGUUCUUCUAUUAAUUAACUUGACGUGAUAUUAGUUUAAUUCAUUGUGAGAUAGAAUUGUUAUCUGUAAAUAGGGAGGCCCCCGGUAAAAACCGCG